CUGUUGUUAAAGUUUUUAAAAUUUCAAAAACUUUCUUAAACUAUUCUGGAUUUGUACCAAACUUGGACAGAAGCUUUGUUUUUUAUCAUAAGAUAGUAUCCAGAAGUAAAUUUUGUAAAAUAGUUCCAUUUUUUUCUGUAUCUUACUUAUAAAUGGACUUGGUUUUUUCUUCCAUUUAACAUUUCAUACAGUCUGCAGUUAAAGUUUUUAAAACAUCACAAGAUUCACAAACUAUCAUGCAUUUUUACCAAACGUGGACAAAAGCUUCUUACAAUCAAAAGAGAGUAUCGAGAAGAUUAUUUUUAUUGUUUUUUUCCCUCAUUUUUGUUGUGUGUGCGAUUAACAGCAAAAGUAGGCGAGACACUGGGUUCCACGGAACCCUUACGAUUUUGUUGUUGUUUUUGUAAUGGCAAUUUUAGCAUUCUCUCCUCCUUCAAAUGUAUAUAAUCUUUAUAAAGUUCAUUCCAAAUAAGCAAGAGAGAACAAUUUAAAAUACCAAAUGAAUUCAACGGAUAGAUUAGCAGACAGAUAAGACAAAG
rnacentral:lncRNA from 1 species